AAAAGGGGAGGGGAGGGGGGAGUUGUAAUGUGAGUCUAGAUUUCUUUUAUACCUUAUAUGUUGUUGUAUAUUGCACAAUGUUUUAGAAGGAACACACAAGCAAUUGAAGUAAAUCAUUAAUAACAUUUUUCUUUUGCUUAAAAUCGACUCAUUUCCUAGUGAAAGCUUACCAAACAUAAAAAGGGGGAGAUUAAAGUUGAAUGUCUCAGAUACAUUAAAA
rnacentral:lncRNA from 1 species